UAGAUGCGAGAGUAGAGCAUAUCAAUAAGCGGAGGAAAAGAAACUAACAAGGAUUCCCUUAGUAACGGCGAGUGAAGCGGGAAGAGCUCAAAUUUGAAAUCUUCAAGGUUCUACCUUGACGAAUUGUAGUUUAAAGAAGUGUUUUCUGUUAGAUGAGUAGCAAAAGUUCCUUGGAAUGGGACAUCAUAGAGGGUGAGAAUCCCGUAUUUGGUUAUUCAUUCUAGCUUUGUGAUACACUUUCAAAGAGUCGGAUUGUUUGGGAAUGCAGUCCAAAAUGGGUGGUAAAUUUCAUCUAAAGCUAAAUAUUAGGCGAGAGACCGAUAGCGAACAAGUACCGUGAGGGAAAGAUGAAAAGAACUUUGAAAAGAGAGUUAAACAGUACGUGAAAUUGUCAAAAGGGAAGCGUUUGACACCAGUGUUGUUUUUCCGAAAAUCAAUUACGAAUGGCUUGAUUUUGUGUUGUAUUGACCUUAUCAGCUUUCUUCACUUUUUUCGAGUCUUUCUUAAUGCACUUUUCGGUUAACAAGUCAACAUCAAUUUCUUUUGUUGUAAAAGAGUAUUCGGAAGGGGGCUUUCUUUUCGGAGAAAGUGUUUAUAGCCCUAUACUUCUACAAUCGGAGAGAUUGAGGUCUGCAGCGUAGAUCCUUCGGGGUUAGAUACACUUGUGCUAAGUUGUAGCUUUUCAUAGACAACUUGUUGACUAUGUUUAGUCAUGCGGCUUACUCGCUUGUGCUAUUUUACCUACGCUUAGGAUGUUGAGCGCAUGUCUCUCUCU
rnacentral:rRNA from 1 species